AGCACCGGCUAACUACGUGCCAGCAGCCGCGGUAAUACGUAGGGUGCAAGCGUUAUCCGGAAUUAUUGGGCGUAAAGGGCUCGUAGGCGGUUCGUCGCGUCCGGUGUGAAAGUCCAUCGCUUAACGGUGGAUCUGCGCCGGGUACGGGCGGGCUGGAGUGCGGUAGGGGAGACUGGAAUUCCCGGUGUAACGGUGGAAUGUGUAGAUAUCGGGAAGAACACCAAUGGCGAAGGCAGGUCUCUGGGCCGUCACUGACGCUGAGGAGCGAAAGCGUGGGGAGCGAACAGGAUUAGAUACCCUGGUAGUCCACGCCGUAAACGGUGGAUGCUGGAUGUGGGGCCCGUUCCACGGGUUCCGUGUCGGAGCUAACGCGUUAAGCAUCCCGCCUGGGGAGUACGGCCGCAAGGCUAAAACUCAAAGAAAUUGACGGGGGCCCGCACAAGCGGCGGAGCAUGCGGAUUAAUUCGAUGCAACGCGAAGAACCUUACCUGGGCUUGACAUGUUCCCGACAGCCGUAGAGAUACGGCCUCCCUUCGGGGCGGGUUCACAGGUGGUGCAUGGUCGUCGUCAGCUCGUGUCGUGAGAUGUUGGGUUAAGUCCCGCAACGAGCGCAACCCUCGCCCUGUGUUGCCAGCACGUCGUGGUGGGAACUCACGGGGGACCGCCGGGGUCAACUCGGAGGAAGGUGGGGAUGACGUCAGAUCAUCAUGCCCCUUACGUCCAGGGCUUCACGCAUGCUACAAUGGCCGGUACAACGGGAUGCGACCUCGUGAGGGGGAGCGGAUCCCUUAAAACCGGUCUCAGUUCGGAUUGGAGUCUGCAACCCGACUCCAUGAAGGCGGAGUCGCUAGUAAUCGCGGAUCAGCAACGCCGCGGUGAAUGCGUUCCCGGGCCUUGUACACACCGCCCGUCAAGUCAUGAAAGUGGGUAGCACCCGAAGCCGGUGGCCCAACCUUUUGGGGGGAGCCGUCUAAGGUGAGACUCGUGAUUGGGACUAAGUCGUAACAAGGUAGCCGUACCGGAAGGUGCGGCUG
rnacentral:rRNA from 1 species